GACUCCUACGGGGAGGCAGCAGUGGGGAAUAUUGCACAAGUCGGGGGAAACCCUGAUGCAGCCAUGCCGCGUGUGUGAAGAAGGCCUUCGGGUUGUAAAGCACUUUCAGUAGGGAGGAAGGUAGUGUAGUUAACACCUGCAUUAUUUGACGUUACCUACAGAAGAAGCACCGGCUAACUCCGUGCCAGCAGCCGCGGUAAUACGGAGGGUGCGAGCGUUAAUCGGAAUUACUGGGCGUAAAGCGCAUGCAGGCGGCCUGUUAAGUCAGAUGUGAAAGCCCGGGGCUUAACCUCGGAAUUGCAUUUGAAACUGGCAGGCUAGAGUCUUGUAGAGGGGGGUAGGAAUUUCAGGUGUAGCGGUGAAAUGCGUAGAGAUCUGAAGGAAUACCAGUGGCGAAGGCGGCCCCCUGGACAAAGACUGACGCUCAGAUGCGAAAGCGUGGGGAGCAAACAGGAUUAGAUACCCUGGUAG
rnacentral:rRNA from 1 species